rnacentral:lncRNA from 1 species
UAUAUUCAUGAGCAGUAUUGAUCAAGUUUGAUUUUGAUUGAUGACAAAAAAACCCAAGGCUAUUGGGUAUGAGAUUGGUACAAGAUUGAUAUAAAAAUUCAUGAGUAUAGAAUGAGUAUGAGAAUAGGUGAAACCCGACCUAAUUACCCGAAACUAUAUGCGCGUUUUACCCGAAUCGUAAAAUAACAGGGCUUACGAUCCUUUUGAGGAACUUACGUUAUUGACUUCUUCUUCUAUCGCCAUCCAGGAACUUAUGUUCUUAUUUCUUUUUUGUUUCCUGAAGUUAUACGGAUUUGAAGGAAGAAAAGGCUCCAUUUUGCACGAUGAUCUAUGGAGUGUAGUAGUGUGAUGAAGCCAACUCUUGGUGAAUUGAACAUUCUAUGGCUGAUUAUUAGUGCCAUACAUUUGGGUAUAUAAUAGUUAUGAUAAUAGAUAAUCAGGACUCAGGAGUGGACUAAUGACACCAGUCAAUGAAUUUGACACCGUCAGGGGCGGAUCUACACCCAGCUCGGGGGUUCCUGGGAACCCGUUCGGUUCAUACUUUAUAGUGUUAACUUAUUUAAGAAAUUCUGGAGGAAUCCUAUAAAAUUUUGUGAGGGAACCUUAUAAACAAAUGUGAAGAUGGUGCACUG